UAGUAACGCUUGGCUUCCUCUCCCUAGCAACUAACAGCCUAUGAAUUUCUUCAGCACAGGAACCCAGUUUGUUAAUGCGAACAUUUCGUAGCCAGAGGAGCAGAAAAAGCCAAUGCCAAGAGUGAAGAAUCAAGCAGACCAUAAGAGAAAAUGUUUGCAAGGAGGAAAGGGAGAAAAAUUGCACUGAUUCAUAAUAGCUUUCCAGUUCCUGGUUCUAGUCCAUAAUGAGGUUCAGCCACAUAUCCUAUUCAUAGAUCCAUGAGAUAUGGAUCUCUUUCCAAUAAACUCUCUUUCUGCCUUGGCCUAA